GAGAGGCUCUGCUGACCUUCAGUAAUGGCCUCCUGCCUCCUUCAGCUAUCAUGGAAGGGCAGCAAAAUUACCUGUCUGGCCUUUGGACUUAUUUGCUGGGAGAUGCCUGAAUGGACAUCACUUAGACAUCUGCCUGCAGGUGUUCAUCAUGCCUCAUCUGCUGGAGGAGGGCAUUGGCCUCCCUCAAGGACUUGGUACCAGGGAUGGAAGUGGGAGAGACCUAGAAAAGAAAAAAAGUGGAAAAAUCAGCUGAUGGGAAGGAGACUGAAGUAA
rnacentral:lncRNA from 1 species